AAUUCAAUUUCCUUUAAUCCUAUUCCUUUAUUUUCUUCAUGGUGUAUUCGUGAUUGAACUUUGAAAGUGCGAAGUGGUGAUUGAUAUUCGGAAUUAAGGUGAAUGUUUCAGGUGGAAGUUGAUUGAUGCAUACGGGAGUCCACGAGAAUUUCACCUAGCUUAGGAAAAGUUGGAGUCGUUUUUGUGUCACAAAUUAUGAACAAGUUUUAUUUAAAGUUUUAUUAUUAAGA